rnacentral:tRNA from 1 species
GGGGUCGUAGUAUAACUCGGUUAGUACAUAUCGGACAGAUGAUAACUAUAAACCGGCUCCAGACCGGUCAAUGCGAGUUCAAAUCUCGCCGACCCCA